UCCCGCGGGCGGCGCGGAAGCGUCCGGGGCAGCCAUGUCGCCUUUGUGUGCGGCGCGCGCGGCCCUGCGGGUGUACGCGGCGGGCGCCGCCGUCCUCCUGGCGCAGCUGCUGCGCCGCUGCCGCGGGGGCUUCCCGGAGCCAGUUUUCCCCCCACAACCCGACCGUGUGGCCAUCGUGACGGGAGGGACGGAUGGGAUUGGAUAUUCCACGGCCAGGCAGCUGGCGAGACUUGGCAUGCAUGUCAUCGUAGCUGGAAAUAAUGAUGGCAAAGCCCAAGAAGUUGUAAGAAAAAUAAAAGAAGAAACCUUGAAUGACAAAGUGGAGUUUUUAUAUUGUGAUCUGGCUUCCAUGAAAUCCAUCCGGCAGUUUGUUCAGAAGUUCAAGAUGAAGAAAAUCCCUCUCCAUGUCCUGGUCAAUAAUGCUGGAGUGAUGAUGGUCCCUCAGAGGAAAACCAGGGAUGGAUUUGAAGAACAUUUUGGCCUGAACUACCUGGGGCACUUCCUCCUGACCAACCUCCUCCUGGACACCCUGAAAGAGUCAGGAUGCCCUGGCCGCAGUGCAAGGGUGGUCACCGUCUCCUCGGCCACCCAUUACGUUGGAGAACUGAACAUGGAUGACCUCCAGGGCAGCCACUUUUACUCACGCCACGGAGCCUAUGCCCAGAGCAAGCUGGCUCUUGUGCUGUUCUCCUAUCACCUCCAGUGGCUGCUGGUGGCCGAGGGAAGUCACGUGACUGCCAAUGUGGUGGACCCCGGGGUGGUCAACACGGAUCUCUACCGGCACGUCUUCUGGGGCACACGUCUGUUCAAGAAGCUCUUGGGCUGGCUGUUUUUCAAGACUCCCGAUGAAGGGGCCUGGACUUCCAUCUAUGCAGCGGUCACCCCAGAGCUAGAAGGAAUCGGCGGCCGCUACCUGUACAACGAGAAAGAGACCAGAUCCCUCAAGCUCACCUAUGACCAAAAGCUUCAGCGACAGCUGUGGACCAAAAGCUGUCAGAUGACUGGCAUCCUCGACGUGACCCAUGGCCCAAUCUCAGGGUAGCUGCUCUCCCAAGACAUCUUUGCAUCCACCGACUGCUUGGGGUACAACCACUUCUCCCUCCAGAAGCAUGAGGACUGCCCUCCCUGCCCUGGAACUGGGCAAGUGAUGGGGUUAUCCUUUGGGUGGUAUCUGCUGAGUCUAAAAUGUAUGGAAGAGUAGCCCCAAAAGGAUAUGUCCAUGCCCUAACUCCCAGAACCUGUGAAUAUGGCCUUCUUUGGAGGAAGCAUCUUUGCAGGUAUAAGAAUUUUGAGAUGAGGAGAUCAUCUGGGAUUAUUCAGGAGGAGCCAGUAUAAUCACCAGGGUCCCUAUCAGAGACAGGCAGAAAAAAAUGUGAUUACAAAAGAGAAGGCUACAUGAAGACAGAAGCAGAGACUGGAGUGAUACAGCCACAAGCCCAGGGACACCUGGAGCCACCAGGAACUGGAAGAGGCAGAAAGGAUCCUCCCCUGCAGCCUCUGGAGGGAGCGUGGACCUGCCACUCCUGGAUCUCACACUUCUGGUCUCCAGAAUGAGAGAAAAUAAAUAUCUGUUCUUUUCAGCCAUCAACAGAUUUAUGGGAACUUGUUACAGCAGCUACAGGAAACAUACAGCUUCUGAUGCUUGUGAGAGCUUCACACGGUUGAUGGGCACUCUCGUUGGUGUAAAGGUCCACACUUACUCAUUUACCAGGCAGGCAAGGAAGGCUUGAUCCUUUCUCUGAGGAUGGCUGUUGGGUUCUCAAAUUCCAACAUGGAGAAAUGAGCCAUUUGAAAGGCUUUUGAAAGAAUGUGUGUUAUGAGUUCUCAGACCAUUGACUGUUGUUCAGCGUAUCAUCUUUUCCAUCAGGUGACAAAAUCCCACCAAUGAUCAAAGCCUGUUUGCCCCCAGGAUAUCCUCCCCUUGGAUAUUGCAGCCAGCAGGUCUUCAUAAUGAAUAUGGGGGCAGAUGCUUUUUGAGCUACUGCUUGGUUGUUCAGAGAUGGUGAAGUGGCUCUGUAAAGAAUUUAACAACCAGCCCUCUACUCUUCAGUGUACUUUUAUGUAUGUCUGAAAAUUUUUGUCAUCACAAGUUACAAUAAUAAAUGUAUUGGUUGACCUGUUUAAAAACAAUCAGCCAUCCUUUUGGAAUGGAGCAUUAUUUAGUGGCCACUUAAUAAAACAUGAAGAAAUGCCACUGUUCAGGGUUUCACUGCUUGGGAAAACUAGCCAUUGAUUGUCCUUUAUUUCUGCACAUCUGAUGCAUGGCACUUUUCUGGGCUAAACCACUUAACUUUAAACAAAUCUGCAUCUUAGAGAUGCUGAAGCUAUGUCAUGAUAUUUAAUGUCUGUUUCCUUGGUGAUGACAUAGCAUGGACAUGGAUCCCCACUUCUAUUUCUGGAGAUGGCUUGUCUAGACAUGUCGAAGUUGCUGUCAUGGAAGUGUCAUUCAUUUGGCAGCACUGAGAUGGAAUGUUCCCUGGUGUGUCCCAUACACAUCUUCAAAUCAGAGGACCCUACAACCAUGACUUAUCUUAGAUGACAUGGAGCUGGCCCACCAGACACAGGGCUCAUCAUACGGGCAGUGCACCACUAUGAACAGUGCUCUCUGAGGUCACCACACUUAGAAGGGCACCAUAUUGGUUUAAUGCUCUCCUGCCGCCAUCUUGAAAUUCUUAAUUAAGUUUGAAUGAGGAGCCCACAUUUUCAUUUUGCAAAUUCUGUAGCCACUUCUGCUCAUGCUUCUUCUCUCCUCCAGGAAGGGGAGCAAGUCUGUGGCCAGACACCUCCAUUCCCCAGCAAGCCUUCUGUAAAACCAUUGGUGUGCUCAGUGCUGUCAUUGUCUGAGAAGAUCUCCUCAAAGUUCCAAUAAGGCUACUGGGUUUUAGCUGCUUGCUGGGCCAAUCUCUGAAAAUGACAGAUGUUCAGACCCAUCCCCAACAGGGUUCCGGAGUUAGUUUUUCUGGGCAUCACCAUUCAUUUAGACCUUCCCCAAUCAUCUUGUUCAGCCAAGUUUGAGAUCUCCUGAGCUGGGCAAAUGCCAACUCUGGUUUCUAGCCAUGGUUGCCAGCAUCUUCUAUCCAAGAUUUUUUCUAACAGCUAGAACUGCUCAGAUGUUCUGCUAAGCCCUGGAACCCAGAUGAAUGUGUUUCUGAACUGGAAUUCCACCAUACUUUAAACUAAGAUUGAAGUAUACCCUGGUCAAAAUAACAUUUCUGAACAGCCGGGAUUAUGUACCCAAGAACAGAAUCUUAAAUUCUGGGAAGAUCUCAGCCUUUGAGUGUUUGCACAUCACCAAAGAGCCCAUUGCAGCUUGGAGUCAUUUUUCACAAGUGCAAUGGCUCCUAAUCAUCAUCGCAAAGUAGCUCCAAGUGCAGGCUCUGGAUGGGGUGGCAGGAUGUCUCCCGGCCAAGACAAUGUUCUUCAUCACUGAGUGAACAAGCACAUUGGCACUAGACAGAUGUCACAGUCCCCAGGCUGAGGAGAUUGGCUCCAAGAGCAAUUUGAAUCUUGUAUGACCCUGGCCUCAGACUGUUUCUCUAUGUUACACAAUAUCCCUCAUGUUACUGUUCCUCCAUGGAAAACAGACAGCAUGAUUUUGAAGAAAUCGGCAUGUGCUCCUUGACACCUGAUCAUAUGAUUCCUUGGAGCUGGGAGAUAUCUCCAAGCAGCUGGAGAAAUUGCAUGGAUUGCUGGACAGGAAGAAUAUUCAGCAUGCCCCAGGCUGGGUGAGGAGCUGCCUCCUCUGGUGUUUCAGAGAUCCUCUGGGCCACGUCAAGUGCAAAGAUGACACCUCAGUCCCUCACGGCAGGGGACAAGAUUUCUCUAGUGUGGAGUUCACAAGAGACGGUGACAUACGACACUCACAAAUGGUUCCAGUGACCGUUCCCUGACUCAAGAAAGAGAUUAGAAAGUUGUCUUCGAGUGACUCAGCCUGAUGCUGACUUUUUAAUGGCCGGUUCUUCUGGGAUGCAGGUCCGUCCCCAUUCCCUCUGCAGGUGACAUCUGUCUUUCCCUAAGAGAAUUUCUGCUCCUGCUGAGUGACCCAAGGUCUACCCUCCACAGAGCCCUCAGAUAAUAUCCUCCAAGGGUCCCCUUGAAGAGUUCAAUGCUGGAGGUGAAUUCAGCAUCUGGAAGGACGUGAAGCGUGACUGAUAAAAACAAAGCCAAAUGGAGAAACGUGAACCACUGACUAAAAUAGCUGCCUCCCCCACGGAUAACGUUUUUCAUCUUCCUUCUGGUGUGUUCUGGCUGGCAGCCUUCGGAAUGUGCUAAUCAGCAGGAUGAUAGGAAAGCAGCUGUGGCUAUUUGGAAGGGCAGCUCCAAGUCCAGGUGGAACUGUAAAACAAGAUGCAGGAAAUGUUACUGGAGGAGGUACUCAUUGGAAAGCUAAGAUCCAGGUGCUACCCAAUCAGCGGCAACUCACCACAUGAUCUUUGUGAUUGCAAUUUGGAAGGAUGGAUGACUUUGCCCCAUGAACAUCUGCAGAAAAGUGGAAGAAAAGGUGAAUUUAGGGAGAAUUGACAUCUUUACUACACUGAGCCCCAUCCAUAAACAUGUUGAUGACGGUGUGAAUGCUCAGCCUGCUUUCUGGUGGUCUAGCAUUGGACGGAAUGCCUGCAUUGGAGCACUCCCCACAGGAGCAGUCCUGCAUGGAACAGAACCUCCUGCCCCUUCCCCAAAGGGCAAAAUGGCAAUUCUCUCAGGACAUAGCAAGAAGGUGCCGCCUAUGAACCAGGAAGCUGGUCCUCACCAGAAACCGAACGUGCCACACCUUGACCUUGGACUUCCAGCCUCCAGAACUAUAGUAAUUACUUUCAUAGGACACACUGACCAGGACAAACCGAGGACUAGAACUUCCGACCACCCCACUGGUAAUGGGUGUUAAGUAAACUCAGGCUGGCUCCAAUCAAUUCAACCAUCAUCAGUGUUGAAGAGCUGAGAUGCUCUUGGUUUAUGAAAUGCUCACAGAGACCCUCUUACUAGCUACAUGGCUGCUGGCAAAUUGCUGAACAUCUAUGAGUCUGAACUCUGUUCUUGAAAAUGUCUCUAACCUUUGCCAUCAUCACACUAUGUUCAAAUCUAACAUCCUUAAUAAUCUUUGGAAAGUGUUUCUGCUGCCCCAGUAAGGAGACAAUGAAAGAACAAAACCAAAGAGGUGGGGAUUCUGUUUUAAAAUGGCAUUGAGACAAGAAUAUCUGACCACGGCCUCACAAUUCACCCAUAAAACUAAGGAGGCCAACAAAAGAACAGAAGUAAAAAUCUACGACUGUCAGCCAAUAGAUUAUGGGGUCCUGUGGAAGAUUUUUCAACAAAGGAAAGGUCUAGUGAAGAUAAUAGUUAGUGGGAGUACACUUGUCAGAUAAUAAGUCUGACAUCCUCUGAGCAAAGUUCAGGAGAAGUUUUGCUUAGUGUCACUGUCCCUCAAUUCUGAAGCCUCAUGUCUGCAAUGCAAACAUGGAAAACAUCCUUUCUCCACAUGGUUUUUGCUUCCACAAAGAUGGCUUACCAUCCCCAUCUAGUGUGUUCAGUUCUACAGUCAGCUGCAGAAGACAAGACAAGAAGGAGAUGGAGAGACGGUAACUGAAUGUGCAUCGCAUCUUAGGAGGAAAGAGAGAGGAGGAAAAAGAGCAGGUGCAGGCUGACAGUGUGUACCCUUGAUAGGAUGUGAUACAAAGCAUUUACACAUCAAAGAAAACUGUUAACAGAGUGGAGAGACAACCUACAGUCUGGGAGAAAAUAUCUGCAAACUAUACGUCUGACGAGGGCUUGUUGUCAAGAAUGUGAAAGGAACUUCUCUAAAACCCAUAAUUCCAGUCUACUCAUUGGACACAACAUCAGACAGAUCCAUAGUCACAGCCAAGGAGACAUACAUGCAAUAUCGUGUCCUGAUGAAAUCCUGGAAUGGAAAAAAGUAAAAGGACAUUAGGUUAAAAACUAAGAAUAUCUGAGUAAUGUACGAACUUUGGUUAGUCAUAAUGUACCGACUCAUAUAACAUGUUAAUGAUAGGGGAAACUGGAUGUGGAAUAUGUGGAAAUGCAGUGUGCUAUCUUUAUAAUUUUGUCUGUAAAUCUGAAACUAUUCUAAAAGAUGACUGAAUAAGGAAAAUGUGGUGUAUGUACUCAGUGCAAUACUUCUCAGCAAUAGCAAGAAUGAAAUUCUCCCAUUCCCAGCAACAUGGAUGAACUUAGAGAAAACUAUGUUAUGUGAAAUAAGCCAGGUAUGGAAAGAGAAAUACCACAUGUAUUUCU